rnacentral:rRNA from 1 species
AGUACAGACGAGUUUGAUCCUGGCUCAGAACGAACGCUGGCGGCAGGCCUAACACAUGCAAGUCGAGCGCGCCCUUCGGGGUGAGCGGCGGACGGGUGAGUAACGCGUGGGAACGUACCCUUUGCUACGGAAUAGUCUCGGGAAACUGGGGGUAAUACCGUAUGAGCCCUUCGGGGGAAAGAUUUAUCGGCAAAGGAUCGGCCCGCGUUGGAUUAGGUAGUUGGUGGGGUAAUGGCCCACCAAGCCGACGAUCCAUAGCUGGUUUGAGAGGAUGAUCAGCCACACUGGGACUGAGACACGGCCCAGACUCCUACGGGAGGCAGCAGUGGGGAAUCUUAGACAAUGGGCGCAAGCCUGAUCUAGCCAUGCCGCGUGAGCGAUGAAGGCCUUAGGGUUGUAAAGCUCUUUCGUGGGGGAAGAUAAUGACUGUACCCCAAGAAGAAGCCCCGGCUAACUCCGUG